CUCUUUGGCUGCGAUCCGCCUACGAGUAUGUAGUUGUAUGGUGGGGAUGAUAUCUUGGGCCUUAUUUGUGAGUGGCCGAGAUGCGGGAGACACAAGGUGGCUAUGGUGCUGGCCGAAAGCCAUCAACUCUGCAAGAGCGCCGUGAAGGUUAGCGCGACGACCACCAUGUAAAGCCGAUACGGUGUUGGGCGGCGUGACGCAAGUUCGCCACCGCUGGGUCGGAUGGUGAGUGACACCUCUGGGGUUACACUAGAUUUUUGGGCUGUGAAACUCCAUGUAUCUUUGGGACCUGCCGCCUGUGGCAGUCUCCCUUCCUAGCCAUGGAAGAGCAUGUUCUUGUUAUUGGCAAAGCUGUCACCAUUUCAUUGGUACCAGAUUCUGACUUGAGCAAGUGACAUUCUAAGAUUGUAAGAGUCUACACGACGCUAGAAAAAUGGACUUCAGUUUUCUAAACUAGUAUUGAAAUAUUUCUAGGAAACGCCGGGACCCGUUGCUGUUGAACAGUGGAGGAAGUGUUAAGGUAAGAUUCAUUUUUGUGGUGUUUUCGCGGUUCUGGGUAGUGAGUGGGCCUUUACUGUUAGGGUGAAGUUUGCUCUUGUGCUGACAUUAACAUAAGUAAACAGCCCGUAGUAUAGUCACGGAUAUUCUGUAAUGGGCCUUUUUUUUUUUCUUGCAGGUACUGUAGUGGUUGAGAUCGUCUCUGGUCAACUUACAGGGAAUCUUCGCUUUUAAUUUUUGAAAAUUGAAUAUUUUAUAUUAAAUAAAAGAUGUUUGGUGUGUAAUAA
rnacentral:lncRNA from 1 species